GGGGGGGGGUGGGGGGGGGCCGGGGACAUGCAAGGCGAGCGAGCGGAGGAGGAGCGGGCGGCGCGGAGGGUAGCGGCGGACGGGUGAGGAACACGGGGAGAAGCUACCUAUAAGACUGGGAUAACUUCGGGAAACCGGAGCUAAUACCGGCUGAUAUUUUGAACCGCAUGGUUCAAAAGUGACAGACGGGCGUGCUGUCACUUAUAGAUGGAUCCGCGCUGCAUUAGCUAGUUGGUAAGGUAACGGCUUACCAAGGCAACGAUGCAUAGCCGACCUGAGAGGGUGAUCGGCCAUACUGGAACUUAGACACGGUCCAGACUCCUACGGGAGGCAGCAGUAGGGAAUCUUCCGCAAUGGGCGAAAGCCUGACGGAGCAACGCCGCGUGAGUGAUGAAGGUCUUCGGAUCGUAAAACUCUGUUAUUAGGGAAGAACAUAUGUGUAAGUAACUGUGCACAUCUUGACGGUACCUAAUCAGAAAGCCACGGCUAACUACGUG
rnacentral:rRNA from 1 species